GAUGAAGAACGUAGCGAAAUGCGAUAAGUAAUGUGAAUUGCAGAAUUCAGUGAAUCAUCGAAUCUUUGAACGCACAUUGCGCCCAUUAGUAUUCUAGUGGGCAUGCCUGUUCGAGCGUCAUUAUAACCCUCAAGCUCAGCUUGGUGUUGGGGCCUGCUGCACUGGCAGCCCUUAAAAUCAGUGGCGGCGCCAUCUGGCUCUAAGCGUAGUAAUUCUUCUCGCUAUGGAGUCCUGGUGGAUGCUUGCCAUCAACCCCCAAUUUUUCUAUGGUUGACCUCGGAUCAGGUAGGGAUACCCGCUGAACUUAAGCAUAUCAAUAAGCGGAGGA
rnacentral:misc_RNA from 1 species